UGCUUAAUACGAUGAUUUCUGAAUCCU
rnacentral:piRNA from 1 species